GACCGGGCAAGAGGAAUAUCAUGAUGCUACGAAGAGGCAGAGAUUCUUAAAGGCUGAACAGAACAGGACUGCGCUCUCCUUUAGGAAUGUGGAAAAAAACCAAAGUUUAAAGGGAACGUCAGACUUUGAUGUGCUGAUAAACAACAGAACUGAUGUGACGGUAACCGCAUUGAUCUUUGGUGUUAGGAAUCCUCCAGCAGAUAAGAAGACCAACCUUGAAGAUGUCAGCAAGAUGGUGGCUGGCAAAAUGGUGAGCUCUAUCUGAACUGUUAUCUCUGGAGAGGACAUCUCUCUGAGGGAUGUCACCAUUGAGGAUGAGGGGUCUCUGUGACACUUUCUCUCUGGAUGGAGGCAGACACUCUUCCACCAAAGGACCUUCUGAAAAAGUUUGCAGGAGCUUCCUGUGAACAGGAGCCCACUGCUACUGCAAUUCUCAAAAAAGAAGAGGGAUCCUUGCUGGACAUUUAUAAGAAUUAACAAAGCUGCGUCUUUGUUUCUCCUGUGACGGUUAACAGUUGUUUGUCACGGCCGCGCUCUGUUCCCCUGUGUUUCAGCGUGUCCUAGUGUGUGUCUCAGUAAUUUUCCGUUAUGUGUCUGUAAUUUGUAGCUCCGCCCUUGUUACCUGUCUCCCCAGGUGUUCAUUGUUUUGUGUUAGUAUAUAUAGUACCCUUUUGUCUAUGUAAUUCCGUCGGUCUUUGCACCUUCCUACGUUGUCUGUCUCGUCACGUCUUAGCUUAGUUUUGCCACGUAUCGUAUUAGCUCUUCUCCACGUUUCUAGUUCUUUGUUUAGUUUGUAUUAUUUGUUUAUAUCUCUUGUUUGUUUAUAUUCCUUGUUUUGUACAUAUUUACAUAUUUACCCUUGUAUAUAUUCCCUAGCCCUGUUUUGUUAUUAUCUGUUUAACUUAGCUCUGUGUUGGUUUUCCCUGUUUGUUUAUGUACAUUUACUUAUUCAUUAUUCCCCUGUUUGUUUGUUUGUUUACUUAUUAUUCAAUAAAGUCUGUCUUUCCCGCUUUUACAUCCGCCUCCAGUCUGCUCCCAGUGUUACAUUGUUCAGUGUUCAGGUUAUGUAACCAGUGCAGGAGAUGCCACUGUGUUGUAAAAAAUUAAAACAAUGGUUAUUCAAGGGUUCUUUAAAUAAAAUGUGUAUAUAUACACACACACACACACACACAC